UCCUAGUGCAGAGUACAAAUUUGUCAAAAUAUUUAUGUAUUGGAUAAAUUCAUAUGUUAUAUUACCAAACGUUACACAAGUUUGACAUAUUGGUUGGACCCAAUCUUUAAAUAAUAUGUUAACUGUUUAUCAUAUCAAGUUAAUUGUUUGAAUGUAAAUGUAUUUUAAUCGAUCGAAGGAACUCAAAUAUACAGACAGUGUUGAAAUAAUAUUGAAUCUUUUGAACGGAUUAUUGAUUGUAUAAACGUCUUGAACUUUUACUAUAUUACAAACCAACAAAAAUUUAUGAUUGUGUUGUACUAAAAACAUCAUUAGUAAAUUUAAAAACGAAUGAACGCAACGUUCGGUGGUAUUCACGCGGUUUUGUUAUCGUUCGUUGUCUUAUUUUGUCCUAAGUCCGGCUACGUCCAGGAAAAGGAAUAAGACGCCAAUGUGGAUAGGGGGGACACUCAAUACUCAUGCCACAAUGGCGCUGAUAUAAACAAAUAACAAGUUAUAAAUUUAAGUCUUAAAAAAAAGAAGAACAAGCAUUAUACUUAUCGGCUAAUUGAAACGGUUGACAAUAAUGUUGUAUAUUGAAAGGUUCCAUUGAUAUCAAAUGGAAGUAGCUGACCAACGUGUACAAUAUGUCGUAAACGGUAUUUUGAUGUAUCUUAGAAAAUACAUAGACCCAACGGUGAUAUACUGAGCGCACAAGGGUGCGACAAUCGCAAAGGUGAUAUUUUACUUUUUUUAAAUUAUAACAAAAACGAAUACAAGACUACUGGCUCGCAAAAGCCAUAGAGCUUAUAACUGAAAAACGAUAAGAUGGUGGUGGUCAUGCAGACAUAAAGAGAAGACCGACAACAACUCGGUGUACGAAAACCAAAUUAGUGAUAAAUUUUUAUAUUGAAAAAAAAAAUUGUAAGAAGAAAAUUGUUUGUAAAUUUCUUUUCUAGUGUAUUAUUAAGGUAAACAUAGGGAAAACGUCCAGGAUUACAGCCUAACGUAGCACUAGUAUCAGCUGAAUUUGUAGUAUAAGUAUGUUAUGAAUAUAAAAAGAAGAGUGUUUUUCAUUACUAGCCAUUACUACAACGCUGAAAAGUAAAAAUUCAAUACUAUUUUACACUCUUGAGAAUGUAUUGGCGCAUAAAAUCAAAAGGUUCAUAGAAACAUCAUCCUGCUGUGUUGAUCUCAUUAUAGUUAGCUUCGGUUAUAGCGAUGGGAAAACGUUUACAUGGCGGCGGCAUGUUUAAUAUUUGUGAAAAAGCAUUAUAUGCAAUAGUAAUUGGAUCGUUUGAACUGGAAAUAUGCAAUGUGCAAACUAAUUAUUAAUAUUGUUUCGCUUUGUGCAAUGUGACGACCAAUAUAUCACGCUUUGUGUCUUUCAUACAAGACCAUAUGCAGCAUUGGAAAAAAUGAGUUAAAAACAAAGUAAAUGGCCGUACUUUGUGUUAAGGAAAUUUUCAUGUUUCAUUGGUAUAAUCAUUGAAAUAUUUUUAGAUUGUGAGUAUAAUUAAAAAUUGUAAACUUACUAAAUAACUAAAUAAAUA